rnacentral:rRNA from 1 species
GAUGAACGCUGGCGGCGUGCCUAAUACAUGCCAGUCGAGCGAACGGACGAGAAGCUUGCUUCUCUGAUGUUAGCGGCGGACGGGUGAGUAACACGUGGAUAACCUACCUAUAAGACUGGGAUAACUUCGGGAAACCGGAGCUAAUACCGGAUAAUAUUUUGAACCGCAUGGUUCAAAAGUGAAAGACGGUCUUGCUGUCACUUAUAGAUGGAUCCGCGCUGCAUUAGCUAGUUGGUAAGGUAACGGCUUACCAAGGCAACGAUGCAUAGCCGACCUGAGAGGGUGAUCGGCCACACUGGAACUGAGACACGGUCCAGACUCCUACGUGAGGCAGCAGUAGGGAAUCUUCCGCAAUGGGCGAAAGCCUGACGGAGCAACGCCGCGUGAGUGAUGAAGGUCUUCGGAUCGUAAAACUCUGUUAUUAGGGAAGAACAUAUGUGUAAGUAACUGUGCACAUCUUGACGGUACCUAAUCAGAAAGCCACGGCUAACUACGUG